GAUGAACGCUGGCGGCGUGCCUAAUACAUGCAAGUCGAACGAACAGGCGAGGACUUUGUUCCUCUGACGAUUGCCGCACGGGUGAGUAACACGUGUGUAACCUCUCCCUAUAAGGCUGAUAUCUCUUGGAAACGCCGGCUCUUACCCCAUAUAAUAUAUUGAUGCAUGACGUUUAAUUGAAAAAUACGAUUUUGCUGUUACUAAUAGCUGCUUCGGCGCCUCAUUUGUUAGUUGGGAGGGUACCGGGCUACCACGGCAACGAUGCGUGGCCGACCUGAGAGGUGGAUAGGCCACACUGGAACGGGGACACGGUCAAGACUCCUAAGGGAGGAAGCAGAAGGGAAUCUUCGGCAUGGGGGGAAAGCCGGACGGAGCAAGGCGGCGUGAGUGAUGAGGGUCUUGGGAUCGUAAAACUCUGUUAUUGGGGAGGAACAGAUGUGUAAGGAACUAUGCACGUCGUGACGGUACCUAAUCAGAAAGCCACGGCUAACUACGUG
rnacentral:rRNA from 1 species